UAGAGUUUGAUCCUGGCUCAGAACGUACGCUGGCGGCACGCCUAACACAUGCAAGUCGAACGAAGUAGCAAUACUUAGUGGCAGACGGGUGAGUAACAUGUAGGUAUCUGCCCUUUGGCCUGGAAUAACACGAGGAAACUUGUGCUAAUACCGGAUAAGUCUUUACGGAGAAAGCUUUAUGCACCAUUGGAUGAGCCUGCACUUGAUUAGUUUGUUGGUGGGGUAAUGGCCUACCAAGACUUUGAUCAAUAGCUGAUUUGAGAGGAUGAUCAGCCACAUUGGGACUGAGACACGGCCCAAACUCCUACGGGAGGCAGCAGUGGGGAAUCUUGCACAAUGGAGGAAACUCUGAUGCAGCGAUGCCGCGUGAGUGAAGAAGGCCCUUGGGUUGUAAAGCUCUUUCGUCGGGGAAGAAAAUGACUGUACCCGAAUAAGAAGGUCCGGCUAACUUCGUGCCAGCAGCCGCGGUAAUACGAAGGGACCUAGCGUAGUUCGGAAUUACUGGGCUUAAAGAGUUCGUAGGUGGUUGAAAAAGUUGGUGGUGAAAUCCCAGAGCUUAACUCUGGAACUGCCAUCAAAACUUUUCAGCUAGAGUUUGAUAGAGGAAAGCAGAAUUUCUAGUGUAGAGGUGAAAUUCGUAGAUAUUAGAAAGAAUACCAAUUGCGAAGGCAGCUUUCUGGAUCAUUACUGACACUGAGGAACGAAAGCAUGGGUAGCGAAGAGGAUUAGAUACCCUCGUAGUCCAUGCCGUAAACGAUGUGUGUUAGACGUUGGAAAUUUAUUUUCAGUGUCGCAGCGAAAGCGAUAAACACACCGCCUGGGGAGUACGACCGCAAGGUUAAAACUCAAAUGAAUUGACGGGGACCCGCACAAGUAGUGGAGCAUGUGGUUUAAUUCGAAGAUACGCGCAGAACCUUACCAACACUUGACAUGUUCGUCGCGACUUUAAGAGAUUAAAGUUUUCGGUUCGGCCGGACGAAACACAGGUGCUGCAUGGCUGUCGUCAGCUCGUGUCGUGAGAUGUUGGGUUAAGUCCCGCAACGAGCGCAACCCUCACUUUUAGUUGCCAUCAUUUAGUUGGGCACUCUGAAAGAACUGCCAGUGAUAAGCUGGAGGAAGGUGGGGAUGUCGUCAAGUCCUCAUGGCCCUUACGUGUUGGGCUACACACGUGCUACAAUGGUAUCUACAACAGGAAGCAAGACGGCGACGUUUAGCAAAUCCUUAAAAGAUACCUCAGUUCGGAUUGCACUCUGCAACUCGAGUGCAUGAAGCUGGAAUUACUAGUAAUCGUGGAUCAGCGUGCCACGGUGAAUGCGUUCCCGGGUCUUGUACACACCGCCCGUCACACCAUGGGAGUUGGUUCUACCUUAAGGCAAGGUUUUAAACCCUUGACCACGGUAUAGUCAGCGACUGGGGUGAAGUCGUAACAAGGUAACCA
rnacentral:rRNA from 1 species